rnacentral:rRNA from 1 species
GACGAACGCUGGCGGCGUGCUUGACACAUGCAAGUCGAACGGAAAGGCCUGCUUUCCCUUGUGGAUUGCGGGUACUCGAGUGGCGAACGGGUGAGUAACACGUGAGUGAUCUGCCCCCAACUUGGGUAUAAGCCUGGGAAACUGGGUCUAAUUCCCGAUAGGACUGCAGGGUGGUGCCUGUGGUGGAAAACGAUUUUCUAGUGGUUGGGGAUGAGCUCGCGGCCUAUCAGCUUGUUGGUGGGGUAAUGGCCUACCAAGGCGGCGACGGGUAGCCGGCCUGAGAGGGUGGACGGCCACAUUGGGACUGAGAUACGGCCCAGACUCCUACGGGAGGCAGCAGUGGGGAAUAUUGCACAAUGGGCGGAAGCCUGAUGCAGCGACGCCGCGUGGGGGAUGACGGCCUUCGGGUUGUAAACUCCUUUCGACCGCGAGGAAACCACCUGGUUGGAAGGGUGGUGACGGUAGUGGUAGAAGAAGCACCGGCUAACUACGUG